AACGAACGCUGGCGGCAGGCCUCAAACAUGCAAGUCUAGGGGGUGCAGCAAUGCAUCACCGGCGGACGGGUGCGUAACGCGUGGGAAUAUACCUUUUGGUUCGGAACAACUGCGGGAAACUGCAGCUAAUACCGAAUGUGCCCUAACGGGGAAAGAUUUAUCGCCAAAGGAUUAGCCCGCGUAGGAUUAGCUAGUUGGUGAGGUAAUGGCUCACCAAGGCUCCGAUCCUUAGCGUUCUGAGAGGAAGAUCAGCCACACUGGGACUGAGACACGGCCCAGACUCCUACGGGAGGCAGCAGUUGGGAAUCUUGGACAAUGGGGAACCCUGAUCCAGCCAUGCCGCGUGAGUGAUGAA
rnacentral:rRNA from 1 species